AAUAAUACCUGGCAGGGGAGAUACCAUGACCAUAAAAGUGCUUUUCCCAGGGUGAUGUUUAUCCGUUGCACUCUGGUGCUGACACCUGUGAUUUCCCCAAAUAUUGGAAACUCGACUGCAUAAUUUUUGGUAGUGGGGAACUGCAUUCACUCUCUC
rnacentral:snRNA from 1 species